GGAGCGGACCAGAUGAUCGCUGGCCAUGAUCGAUGGGUGCCGAAAGGCAGCGCAGAGAUUUUGGCGGGAGGAAAGUCCGGGCUCCGUAGAACGCAAUGGUGGGUAACCCCCACCGGCCGCAAGGCUAGGGAAAGUGCCACAGAAAGCAAACCGCCAACAGGGUUUUCCCUGUUGGUAAGGGUGAAACGGUGAGGUAAGAGCUCACCAGCAGGCCGGGCGACCGGUCUGGCUCGGUAAACCCCAUUGGGAGCAAGGCCAAGCAGGAAGAAGUUUGCCCUUUCGGGGGCCGCGCGAAGCGGUUCGUUUCGCAUCCAACUUCCGGGUCGGCUGCUGGAGGCGUCGGGCAACCGGCGUCCUAGAGAAAUGGUCAUCGCCCAGCGGGCCCUUGGGACCACUGGGAGACAAAACCCGGCUUACCGGUUCGCUCCAGUC
rnacentral:RNase_P_RNA from 1 species